UACGUAGGGUGCGAGCGUUGUCCGGAAUUAUUGGGCGUAAAGAGCUCGUAGGCGGUUUGUCGCGUCGACUGUGAAAACCCGAGGCUUAACCUCGGGCCUGCAGUCGAUACGGGCAGACUAGAGUUCGGUAGGGGAGACUGGAAUUCCUGGUGUAGCGGUGAAAUGCGCAGAUAUCAGGAGGAACACCGGUGGCGAAGGCGGCGACCUGGGUAGAUACUGACGCUGAGGCGCGAAAGCGUGGGGAGCAAACAGG
rnacentral:rRNA from 1 species